CCCCAAUGAAUGUAGGCCACCUCUUCGCGGCGUUGGGGACCAGUACUCCCUCACGGAGGAAGCUAAGCGCCGA
rnacentral:ribozyme from 1 species